UGUUAUCAAUAUAAGUCCAAACUUUCUUUCUUAUUUUGCUAUGAACUUAAUGAACUGAAGUUUACAGUGUUAAUUUUAUUUAGUUUUUGUUAUUUUAAUUCCUGUUGGUAGCUUGUAAUUUUAUUUGAAUUAAAGUUACUAUAAUGCCUGUGGAAUCUAAAUCACAUUUGUUUUGCAGGAUAAGCUCGGAGCAGAAAUGCUGCAGACUGUGCACUUGUUCUGGAUGCCAUUCGAGGAAAGGAUCCUGGUGAUCUCUCAUCAAGAGAUGUUCCCCUUGAUGAUCCAUUUUCUGUUGACAUUAAAAGGCUUACUGUUGGAUAUACAGAUGAUGCCGAAAUGGAGGUUGUUCAUGUUCUCGUAUCAAAGGGCGUGAACGUGGACGUUCCUUUUAAAUUGAACUACACCGUCGACUCUGUUCAAGGUAUCUUAAAUGUCACCAUGGACGUUGAGAUGUUGGCUCACUUUGAUGAGUGGCAACGCACCAGACAAGAUGACCUUUAUGAAGAAGCUUAAGACCAAUGGCCAACCGAAUUGCUCCAUGCACGCGUGAUUCCAGCAGUUGAUUAUGUGCAGGUUGGUCCAUGGCAUGACAAAGCAAAUGGCUGUCGGGCAGUCCUUCCAUGGGCCUUUGGUAAGUUCUGCAAUGCAUCAGAAGUCGUAGCAUAGGCCAGUAACGGUCGUUAUGAGCAAUGCUGAGAACAUUGCUCAAUCUGGAGAAUGUUGGCAAGAUUCAACCUAAUACUUAUUUUGAGACAUGCCAUAUAUUCAGAUUUAGAUGAUCUUUUCCACGGGCACAGAGGGCUCGGGGAAAAUUAAAUUCGAGAAGUGAAAGAAAGUUUCACUGUCGAUGCGUUCAUUGGAAAUGCAACUGACUGAGAGAAAGUUUGCCUGGGAAAUAUUGGUGGUCUUCCAGUAAUUGCUGUUCCAACUGGCUUUAAAAGUAUAGCCAAUCCACCCUCAGAGGGUACUCAGAGAAGAACCACCAUCACCACUGGCAUCUACGCUCGUCCUAACCAUGAACACGUUGCUCUAGCAUUAGUAAUGGCGUACCAAUCAGUCACCGAUCACCAUAAGCAACACCCACCUAUCGAUAAUCUUGGGCCAAAUGACAGUAUACCAGAUCCACCAACACUUAUCAUCCGUCCCAGAAGGCGGCAUCACUGAAAGCUUUUUAAUCAAGAUCUUUUGUAUCCUGACAUUAUUGUUGUGCGGCAGUUAUUGUGGGAGGGCAAUGAAACCGCAGUGGAUGAAGCAGAAAGGUUUUAUAAAAAAGUAAAAAUAAUACAAGUGGUUAGAGAUUGCAUCUUUUCCGCUUUAAAUUCAUCCUUUUCUUGGAAAAUUUGCAUAUAAAAAGACAAGUACUUUCGUUAGGUUUCUGGAAAUGAUACAGCAGAACUUCUGGCAAAGAAGCCUACACAGUAGCGAGCAGGAUUCUAUGAGCAAAGCAAUGUCUUGCUGCCUGUUCUGAUGUGACAUUAAAAUACAAGAUUGCUAAAAUUAUGUCCUGGACUGAUGCAUA